GACGAACGCUGGCGGCGUGCUUAACACAUGCAAGUCGAACGAAGAGCGAUGGAAGCUUGCUUCUAUCAAUCUUAGGGGCGAAAGGGUGAGCAACGCGUAAUCAACCUGCCCUUUAGAGGGGGACAACAGUUGGAAACGACUGCUAAUACCGCAUACGAUCUAAUCACGGCAUCGAGGCUAGAUGAAAGCUGGCCUCUACAGGUAAGCUAUCACUGAAGUAGGGGAGUGCGUGUGAUCAGCGAGUUGGACGGGUAACGGCCCCCUAAGGCGAUGAUCAGUAGCCGGUCUGCGGGGAUGCACGGCCACAGUGGGACUGUGACCCGGCCCCGACUUCUCCGGGAGGCCGCCGUGGGGGAUCAUCCGCCAAGGACGAAAGUCUUGCGGAGCCACGCCGCGGGAGUGAUGGCAGCCUUCCGGUUGUUAAGCUCUGUUAAUCGGGACGAAAGGCCUUCUUGCGAACAGUUAGAAGGGUUGACGGUACCGGAAGGGAAAGCCACGGCUAACUACGUG
rnacentral:rRNA from 1 species